GACGAACGCUGGCGGCGUGCUUAACACAUGCAAGUCGAACGGAAAGGCCCUGCUUGCAGGGUACUCGAGUGGCGAACGGGUGAGUAACACGUGGGUGAUCUGCCCUGCACUUCGGGAUAAGCCUGGGAAACUGGGUCUAAUACCGGAUAGGAGCCAUUUUUAGUGUGAUGGUUGGAAAGUUUUUUCGGUGUAGGAUGAGCUCGCGGCCUAUCAGCUUGUUGGUGGGGUAAUGGCCUACCAAGGCGGCGACGGGUAGCCGGCCUGAGAGGGUGGACGGCCACAUUGGGACUGAGAGACGGCCCAGACGCCUACGGGAGGCAGCAGUGGGGAAUAUUGCACAAUGGGCGCAAGCCUGAUGCAGCGACGCCGCGUGGGGGAGGACGGCCUUCGGGUUGUAAACUCCUUUCGCUAGGGACGAAGCUUUUUGUGACGGUACCUAGAUAAGAAGCACCGGCUAACUACGUG
rnacentral:rRNA from 1 species